GGGGAGGGGGGGUGGGGGGGGCUCCAGACAGGUGGGGCGCGAUAGCGAUGAAUCUUCGCCUCUUCCUCAGAGACCCGCUCUCCGCCUCCCGCUCCAACGCCCGGAUGAUCUGAGCCGCGAGGGCACCGAGAGCCGGGGUCCCGGACACAGCCCGGUUCCUCCCCUCCUCUGCCCCCUCCCCUGCCCGACCUGGUCGGCAGCCGCCGUGGUGACCCCCUUCCCGCCCCCUCCCCGGCCGCCGUCGCCGCCGCCGCCUCGGCCGACCAGGGACCUGCCUGCCCGCGGCUGCUCCGGACCUAAAGGAUCAAGACAUAAUGGGAGCAUUUUUAGACAAGCCAAAGAUGGAAAAACAUAAUGCCCAGGGGCAGGGAAAUGGGUUGCGAUAUGGGCUAAGCAGCAUGCAAGGCUGGCGAGUUGAAAUGGAGGAUGCACAUACAGCUGUGAUUGGUUUGCCAAGUGGACUUGAAACAUGGUCAUUCUUUGCUGUAUAUGAUGGGCAUGCUGGUUCUCAGGUUGCCAAAUACUGCUGUGAGCAUUUGUUAGAUCACAUCACCAAUAACCAGGAUUUUAAAGGGUCUGCAGGAGCACCUUCUGUGGAAAAUGUAAAGAAUGGAAUCAGAACAGGUUUUCUGGAAAUUGAUGAACACAUGAGAGUUAUGUCAGAGAAGAAACAUGGUGCAGAUAGAAGUGGGUCAACAGCUGUGGGUGUCUUAAUUUCUCCUCAACAUACUUACUUCAUUAACUGUGGAGACUCAAGAGGUUUACUUUGUAGGAACAGGAAAGUUCACUUCUUUACACAAGAUCACAAACCAAGUAAUCCGCUGGAAAAAGAACGAAUUCAGAAUGCAGGUGGUUCUGUAAUGAUUCAGCGUGUGAAUGGCUCUCUGGCUGUAUCGAGGGCCCUUGGGGACUUUGAUUACAAAUGUGUCCAUGGAAAAGGUCCUACAGAGCAGCUUGUCUCACCAGAGCCUGAAGUCCAUGAUAUUGAAAGAUCUGAAGAAGAUGAUCAGUUCAUUAUCCUUGCAUGUGAUGGUAUUUGGGAUGUGAUGGGAAACGAAGAGCUCUGUGAUUUUGUAAGAUCCAGACUUGAAGUCACUGAUGACCUUGAGAAAGUUUGCAAUGAAGUAGUUGACACCUGUUUGUAUAAGGGAAGUCGAGACAACAUGAGUGUGAUAUUGAUCUGUUUUCCAAAUGCACCCAAAGUAUCGCCAGAAGCAGUGAAGAAGGAGGCAGAGUUGGACAAGUACCUGGAAAGCAGAGUAGAAGAAAUCAUAAAGAAGCAGGGGGAAGGCGUCCCUGACUUAGUCCAUGUGAUGCGCACAUUAGCAAGUGAGAACAUCCCCAGCCUCCCACCAGGGGGUGAAUUGGCAAGCAAGCGGAAUGUAAUUGAAGCCGUUUACAAUAGACUGAAUCCUUACAAAAAUGAUGACACUAGCUGUUCACUGCACCCAUUCUCUUACACACACCCCUGAUUGAUUGCUCUGAACUCUGCCUGCACCACAGUUCUAGUGAUUGAGGACAUAAUCAUGGACUCUACAUCAACUGAUGAUAUGUGGUAAAACUGCUCACCUAGCCAUGGAAUAUACCUUCACCUCCAAAGGAGAGUACAGCUCAUCUUCAUUGAACCUUUUAAACAUCCGUCAUCAACCUUAAAGAAGGGCAUAUGACUUGGGUGAGAGUGGUUACACCAGAGAACUUCAGCAGUACAACAGCUAGCCCAGAACUGAAUUUUUUUUUUUUUGUAAAUUUGAGACUUACGUAAACGUGAUUUCAAACCAUAAUUCAUGUUGUAAAUCAGACUCCAGCAAUUUUUGUUGUAUGAUUUUGUUUUUUGUAAAGUGUAAUUGUCCUUUGUAUAAAAUGCUCAUAUUUAAUUAUGAACCGCUUUAAAUCACUAUCAAAGUUGCAAGAAAUGUUUGGCUUGUUGUGUGACGCAACAGAUAUAUAGAUCUUUCAAGUCAUGUGUUUGAACUCGGGGUUGGGACAGGGAGAGCAGCAGCCAUGUCAGCUAGACGCUCAAAUGUGCACGUGAUUGUGGAGAAAAAUUCGAAAAUCUUACAAAGCCAAACAUCCAGAGAGUUAAUUGGAAACUAUCUUAAUGUUCUUGGCAGCGGGAUUGGCACUGUUGAUAAAGCUAGUCCUUUCAUUUAACUGUCUUUUAGGUUGUUCUCUACUUGUUGCCAUGAGUAUUGCAGGUUAUACAGUAUAUUCACCAAAAUAUCAGUCUUGGGGCUAAAAUGCCUUGAUUCUUUGCACCUCUUUUACAAGUCCUUACAUUUAAUUAUUAAUUGAUAAGCAGCAGCUUCCUACAUAUAGUAGGAGACUGCCACAUUUUGCUAUCAUGAUUGGCUGGGCCUGCUGCUGUUCCUAGUAAGAUAUUCUGAAUUCCAUUUUAUCAAUAAAGCUUGAUUUAACAAACAAGAAAUUAAA